rnacentral:snoRNA from 2 species
GCUGUUCGGUGAUGAGGCUCAGAGUGCACGCUGGGCACAGCGCCCGAAUCAGACACUGUGGAACCAUUCUCUACUGCCUUCCUUCUGAGAACAGC